rnacentral:rRNA from 1 species
UACGGGGGGAGCAAGCGUUGUUCGGAUUUACUGGGCGUAAAGGGCGCGUAGGCGGCCAUGCGUGUCUUCCGUGAAAUCCCUCGGCUUAACCGAGGACGUGCGGAAGAAACUGCAAGGCUCGAGUCCGGAAGAGGGGGGCGGAAUUCCCAGUGUAGCGGUGAAAUGCGUAGAUAUUGGGAGGAACACCAGUGGCGAAGGCGGUCCCCUGGGCCGGAACUGACGCUGAGGCGCGAAAGCGUGGGGAGCGAACAGG